ensembl:lncRNA
CACUGUUCCUGGAGGUGUUCAAGAAAUAUGGAGAUGUGGUACUAAGGAACGUGGUUUAACUGAGGAAGCAACUGUAUAUACGGAUGGGAGACAAGCUGGGUGCUCAUCAGGAGGAAACAGCUUUCAGUGGCUUCCAGAUGGGGCCCUUUCCCACCUGUACACCCUAGGACGCUGAAAACUACUGCAAGCCAGGAGGCCUCACACAGGAACUCAACAACCCUAGCAAGAAUAUAAUUGCCUUCAGAGCUAGCAGUACCGGCAUGAGAGACUGCCUUCAGUAGGAACAGACUUUCCACCAUCUCACGCCUCACCCAGGUGCAUGACUUCGUUUGCAAAGGCCCAAGGGAGUGAAACAGCUCUGUAAGGCCUUAGGAGAAGGGAAAUUGCUAUCAGACUCCUGUUGAUUCCACAGCCCACCAAGGACGCUGCUGGCUUCUACAGGCCAUCCCCCAUCUGUUGGAAUAGCGGGAAGUUUUGCUUUAGCAAUAAAAAAUAAAAAAUGCUGGAGUCCAACUGGUGACUGAAGUCUGGUGCCAGGCUCUGCUGCAGAGACAUCACAGCUGCCUACAGUGCCUGCUCUGAAAGAGGUGCUCAUUAAACAUUUGCCUUGGGUUUAUUUUCCCUGUUUGCUGUACCCAAGCAUUCACAACAAAAAUUCCAUAAGGGAGAGCUGCA